GAGCCUGUAGUUCAGCCUGGUAGAACGCCGCUCUGAUAAGGCGGAAGUCCUCGGUUCAAAUCCGAGCAGGCUCA
rnacentral:tRNA from 1 species